GACGAACGCUGGCGGCGUGCCUAAUACAUGCAAGUAGAACGCUGAAGAGAGGAGCUUGCUCUUCUUGGAUGAGUUGCGAACGGGUGAGUAACGCGUAGGUAACCUGCCUUGUAGCGGGGGAUAACUAUUGGAAACGAUAGCUAAUACCGCAUAACAAUGGAUGACUCAUGUCAUUUAUUUGAAAGGGGCAAAUGCUCCACUACAAGAUGGACCUGCGUUGUAUUAGCUAGUAGGUGAGGUAACGGCUCACCUAGGCGACGAUACAUAGCCGACCUGAGAGGGUGAUCGGCCACACUGGGACUGAGACACGGCCCAGACUCCUACGGGAGGCAGCAGUAGGGAAUCUUCGGCAAUGGGGGCAACCCUGACCGACGCAACGCCGCGUGAGUGAAGAAGGUUUUCGGAUCGUAAAGCUCUGUUGUAAGUCAAGAACGAGUGUAGAG
rnacentral:rRNA from 1 species